CGAUCAUCGGUAGGAAGGAAGCUAGGAAGAAAGAGGAAGAAGAGGGGCCUUGCAUGAGGGCUAGAGCCUGCCUCUGGUAGCCAAGGAUGACUUGCCUAUUGUGCUCUUCUGAAUGAUGCAGUGCCAUGAUCAGUGUGGCCUGGCUGGUUCAGAUGAGCCGAGAUAGGCAGUCUCCUUGGCUAGCCUGAGUGGCUCUUGUCUGUCAUGGAAGGCUUCUGCUUCUCAUUGAUUCAGUGCUGUUCUCAAGUGAUCUGUACACCUAAUGUGCAUGCACACAGGUUAAUGGUGAUCCUUAUAUGUGUGAUACUGCAAUCUUGUGUUGUGUUGGUCAUUGUUGCAACUGUUGGCUACUGUUGUAUUGUUGUUUGUGUGGGUUACUAGUGUUCAUUUUCAUUUUUUUCUAUUCAUUUUGAAACCUUCUUACAAAAUUACCAAGUGGCCACAGGCAUGUGCUUAGUUAUUUGGUACAGCGUCUUGCAGAUCGUUAUAGGGUAUGUUUUAUGUGGAAAAUUUUUCAAGGUCACACCUUACCCACCAUUAAUAAUUUCUCAUGAAAUAUAUUCAUAAUAUUUAUAAACCAAUAUUUUAUGAAAGAUAUACUCCCUCCAUUUUUAAAUACAUGAAUAUGUUAACUUUUAAACAUAUGUUUAAUCAUUUGUUUUAUUAAAAAAUUACAUCAGUAUAAUUUAGUUUGUUUAUAUCACAACUUGUUUUAUCAUUAAUGGUACUUUAAGCAUAAAUUAUAUUUUUACAUAUUUUAAAAAAUAAAAAUGGAGGUAGUAGGAUAUAUUUAUUAUUCGAUUUACAGAGGGAUCAGUACUCUGGUUAAAGUUCUCUUCCUGAUUAGAGUUUUAAUUUCUCCAUCAAAUUUAAGAUGUUUUCUCUAGUUGCAUUUGCAGAAGAGCUCGCCACAGUUUCAACUUUCAGUUCAACAGAAGAGUAUACCUUCGUGGAACCAUGUCUCCCAUUGUAGCAAUAAGAUGAUGAAGGAUGUGUAAGAAUGAACAGAAGAAAAUGCUUUGCAUGUACUACCUGACGUCUCUCUCAAAGGCUAACCUUUUCGCUUUCCGUUUGGAGAGAACUCC
rnacentral:sRNA from 1 species